rnacentral:rRNA from 1 species
GUCGGGAGUUAAGAAAUGUAGACUCGCUAAUAUCGGGCUAUUUGACAAAGGCUCCAAAGGAAGCCACGGCUAACUCUGUGCCAGCAGCCGCGGUAAUACAGAGGUGGCAAGCGUUGUUCGGAAUUAUUGGGCGUAAAGAGCACGUAGGUGGAUUUGUAAGUCAGAUGUGAAAGCCUUCUGUUCAACGGAAGAAUUGCAUCUGAAACUACAAACCUUGAGUGUAGGAGGGGAGAGUGGAACUUCUGGU